CAGCAGCCGCGGUAAUACGAAGGGGGCUAGCGUUGCUCGGAAUGACUGGGCGUAAAGGGCGCGUAGGCGGAUUGUUUAGUUAGGCGUGAAAUUCCUGGGCUUAACCUGGGGACUGCGCUUAAUACAGGCAGUCUAGAGUGAGGAAGAGGGUUGUGGAAUUCCCAGUGUAGAGGUGAAAUUCGUAGAUAUUGGGAAGAACACCGGUGGCGAAGGCAGCAACCUGGUCCUUGACUGACGCUGAGGCGCGAAAGCGUGGGGAGCAAACAGGAUUAGAUACCCGUGUAGUCCCUGUCUCUUAUAA
rnacentral:rRNA from 1 species